UUGGGACUGAGACACGGCCCAAACUCCUACGGGAGGCAGCAGUGGGGAAUAUUGCACAAUGGGGGAAACCCUGAUGCAGCAACGCCGCGUGAGUGAAGAAGUAUUUCGGUAUGUAAAGCUCUAUCAGCAGGAAAGAAAAUGACGGUACCUGACUAAGAAGCCCCGGCUAACUACGUGCCAGCAGCCGCGGUAAUACGUAGGGGGCAAGCGUUAUCCGGAUUUACUGGGUGUAAAGGGAGCGUAGACGGUUUUGCAAGUCUGAAGUGAAAGCCCGGGGCUUAACCCCGGGACUGCUUUGGAAACUGUAGAACUAGAGUGCAGGAGAGGUAAGUGGAAUUCCUAGUGUAGCGGUGAAAUGCGUAGAUAUUAGGAGGAACACCAGUGGCGAAGGCGGCUUACUGGACUGUAACUGACGUUGAGGCUCGAAAGCGUGGGGAGCAAACAGGAUUAGAUACC
rnacentral:rRNA from 1 species